AACGAGGAAGUCUUCAAUGUAAAGUUGGCACAAAUAUUAGGAUUCUCGGUUGUCACUAUCGUCUUACAUUUAUUCUGAAUGAAUACUAUCCAUCCAUCAGCCCUUAAAGAGUUUCCUAACAGUACAUUGACCUUGAAUGCUGCUCAUUGAUUUUCAGUAGAGCAUCACAAAUAAGGUCGUUACAGUCUUCCAGGAGUGGAUGUGAUUGGGAACAGAUUUCCAAAAUUCCGAUAUUGUGCCACCUGCCCGUGAUGAUGUAUCGUUGUUCUGUUCCCCAUCAAUCCUCACCUGGUUCUAAGGAUGGAGACACCUGUAUGAAAUUCAUCAUUCUGCAGCACAAGCCGAACAAGCACAGACAACUUAAGCUCUUCGGCAUUGCAACGGGUUAUUUUACAGAUCUGUCCCUGGCCUGCAGCGCGAUACAGCUGCGGGGCUGCAGAAACUUAUAUGAUCUUUUAUUCACAUGCGUUUCAGCUGUCAUGGCAAAUUGGAUGAACUUUCCAGGCUGUUGCAGGCAUAUCGAUCUUAGAAAAUGUAACUGAGAUUGCAUGACAGUCAGGACCCUAUUUACAAAGUGAUUUCAUUACUGAAGACAACUUUGAAG